AUGGCGAUGGCGAGCAGCAACGAUGAGAACGAGAGACGAGAGCAAGCCGAGAAGGCUCUCCAGCGCGCGGAGGAGCUCUUCGCCGCCGGCAACGUCCGCAGCGCGCACCUCCAGGCCGGCAGGGCCAAGCGGCUCUGCCCGUCCCUCCCCGGCGUCGCCAGCGCGGCCGCCGCGUACGAGGUCCAUGCCGCCGCGCGCCCGGGCAAGGGCAACAGCUGGCGCGCUGUCCUCGGCAUGUGCUACGGCGACGCCGCCACGCUGGACACCAUCAAGGACCAGUUCCAGCGGCUGUCGCUCCUCCUCCUCCACCACCCGGACGACGACAACAACAACAACGCCGGCCGCCGCGCCGCCGUCGAGGGCGCCGUCGAGCUGCUGCGCCGGGCGUGCGAGGACGCCCUCUCGGCCCAGGUGGGGAUGAAGUGCGCCCGGUGCACCGAGUGGCUGAGCCCGCCGUGGCAGAAGAAGCCGCAGGCGAAGAAGGAGCCACCCACCGGGCCGGGGCGGCCGGCGGUGUUCCAGUGCCCGGCGAAGUGCCCGGAGUGCGGGGAGCAGUACGCGUCCAUGGUGUGCGUCGGCCAGUGGUGCCUCCGGUGCAAGGCGUGCACCAAGAAAGCCAUGGUUGAUGUGCAAGGGCCCGACCAGGCCACUACCACCAUCAAGAAGUCCCGAACGUGUGGAACCGCACGUUACUUCCAUGCUAGCAGUAGUAUUCCUUCCGUUUCAGAUUACAAGAUGAUGUUUUGACUUUGGUCAA
rnacentral:lncRNA from 1 species